rnacentral:rRNA from 1 species
UACGAAGGGGGCUAGCGUUGUUCGGAAUCACUGGGCGUAAAGGGUGCGUAGGCGGGCCUUUAAGUCAGGGGUGAAAUCCUGGAGCUCAACUCCAGAACUGCCUUUGAUACUGAAGAUCUUGAGUCCGGGAGAGGUGAGUGGAACUGCGAGUGUAGAGGUGAAAUUCGUAGAUAUUCGCAAGAACACCAGUGGCGAAGGCGGCUCACUGGCCCGGUACUGACGCUGAGGCACGAAAGCGUGGGGAGCAAACAGG